rnacentral:ribozyme from 13 species
AAUAAAAACAUCCAAAAGGAAACUUAGAUUUUCGACAAAAUUAUUUUCGAUCGAGAGAAGUUCUAAUCCCACAUGGAUUCUCUGGUUUUCCCUUUUCUUUCUUUUCUCUUCUGAUUCAUCUUCUCUCCAAUUAACUUCGUCAAGAGAAAUUGGUGGCAUUGGUUCAGUGGGAGGAGCAGAGGUAGAACUUGAAGAAGAGACAGCAGAA